rnacentral:rRNA from 1 species
GCAAGUCGACGGUGAAGCCCAGCUUGCUGGGUGGAUCAGUGGCGAACGGGUGAGUAACACGUGAGCAACCUGCCCCUCACUUCGGGAUAAGCCUUGGAAACGAGGUCUAAUACCGGAUACGAGCACCUGCCGCAUGGUGGGUGUUGGAAAGUUUUUCGGUGGGGGAUGGGCUCGCGGCCUAUCAGCUUGUUGGUGGGGUAAUGGCCUACCAAGGCGUCGACGGGUAGCCGGCCUGAGAGGGCGACCGGCCACACUGGGACUGAGACACGGCCCAGACUCCUACGGGAGGCAGCAGUGGGGAAUAUUGCACAAUGGGCGAAAGCCUGAUGCAGCGACGCCACGUGAGGGAUGACGGCCUUCGGGUUGUAAACCUCUUUCAGCAGGGAAGAAGCGAGAGUGACGGUACCUGCAGAAGAAGCGCCGGCUAACUACGUGCCAGCAGCCGCGGUAAUACGUAGGGCGCAAGCGUUGUCCGGAAUUAUUGGGCGUAAAGAGCUCGUAGGCGGUCUGUCGCGUCUGGUGUGAAAUCCCAUGGCUCAACUGUGGGCUUGCAUCGGGUACGGGCAGACUAGAGUGCUGUAGGGGAGACUGGAAUUCCUGGUGUAGCGGUGGAAUGCGCAGAUAUCAGGAGGAACACCGAUGGCGAAGGCAGGUCUCUGGGCAGUUACUGACGCUGAGGAGCGAAAGCAUGGGGAGCGAACAGGAUUAGAUACCCUGGUAGUCCAUGCCGUAAACGUUGGGCACUAGGUGUGGGGCCAGUUCCACUGGUUCUGUGCCGCAGCUAACGCAUUAAGUGCCCCGCCUGGGGAGUA